GAGAGAGGUCUGUUGACAACAGAAACUGCUAAUUUUUGCCACCCUGGAUAGAUCCCAAGGCUCACUCG
rnacentral:tRNA from 1 species